AGAGGGCUGCACAGCUUGGAGAGGACCCACGGUUCCUGGUUUGAUCUUUCAAAAAACUCCCCACUUGAUUUCUCAUCUUCUACACACACAAUCACACGUUGGAGAUUCACCUUUAUAGACUUUAGGUCUCGCACGUCCUUCAAUCGUUGUGGAAGAGAAUCAAAGUGAAUUCGAAUUGUAUUUUGGAUCUGGAAACAAAACCCUUCAAACACUGAUAAUAAGG
rnacentral:lncRNA from 1 species